GGGGUGAGCGCGCGCGGCCGCGGCCGUGGGUCCGCGGUAGCUCUGUUGCGGCGGCGGCAGCAGAGCCCGAGCGGAGGGCUCUCCCGGCAGCAGGCUGUAGCCAGUGGCUCUAGAUGCCGGCCCUCUGCUCCCGGGCCAGCGGCUGGCGGGCGACCUCCCGCCCCUGCUCCUGAUCGCGCCCAGCCCCAGUCUUCGAUACCAGCCACAUAAGAAGCCGGUGUAAGAGAAAAGGCACUCUCAAGUUGCAACUCUGAUACAGCACCAGUGUGGCAUAGCACUUAAGGCAUGGGUUACCAAACUGCUGGGUUGAAAUCCAAGUCCUCCAAUUACUUGCUGUGUGACCUUGGGAAGACCCCAUAAGCCACGGAGCAACUAAGCCCAUGUGCCACAACUAUUAAGCCUGUGCUCUAGAGCCUGGGAGCCACAGCUACUGAGCCCACGUGCCCGAGAGCCUGUGCUCUGCAACAGGAGAAGCCACCACAGUGAGAAGCCCCUGCGCCACAACUGAAGAGUAGCCCCUGCUUGCUGCAAUGAGAAAAGCCUGUGCAGCAACGAAGACCCAGCACAGCCAAAAAUAAAUAGACCAAUGAGAUUAUUUUUUAAGUGUAAUAUUAACCAUUUUCUG
ensembl:lncRNA